rnacentral:rRNA from 1 species
AUUGAACGCUGGCGGCAUGCCUUACACAUGCAAGUCGAACGGCAGCAUGGAGGAGCUUGCUCCUCUGAUGGCGAGUGGCGAACGGGUGAGUAAGCAUCGGAACGUACCGUGUAGUGGGGAUAACGUAGCGAAAGUUACGCUAAUACCGCAUACGCACUGAGGUGGAAAGCAGGGGAUCGCAAGACCUUGCGCUAUACGAGCGGCCGAUGUCAGAUUAGCUAGUUGGUAGGGUAAAGGCCUACCAAGGCGACGAUCUGUAGCGGGUCUGAGAGGAUGAUCCGCCACACUGGGACUGAGACACGGCCCAGACUCCUACGGGAGGCAGCAGUGGGGAAUUUUGGACAAUGGGGGAAACCCUGAUCCAGCCAUGCCGCGUGAGUGAAGAAGGCCUUCGGGUUGUAAAGCUCUUUCGGCUGGGAAGAAAUCGCACAGGCUAAUACUCUGUGUGGAUGACGGUACCAGCAUAAGAAGCACCGGCUAACUACGUG